CAAAUGUAUACUAGUAACAACAAUACGAAAGCUAAAUAACAAACCUGAAUGUGCUUCUUCAGAUUGGAUAGUGAAUUCUUGAAUGCUAAAAGUUUGUGUUUUUUGGGCAAGCACAGGACGCACUGCAUCCGCCACGAAUCAUUCUUAUAGCCAUCAACAACAAAAGGUUCUUUCAGGUCUGCGGUUUCAUCCUCACUUUCAUUCACAAUCACAACAAAUGCGGCGUUACUAUCCAUGUGCGUGGGUCGCGUGACUAGCUUGCGUCCUCUAGCUUCCUGUUUUUCAGCGCUGCUUGGCCCGGGUUUUUACGUUGUUUACGUCGUGUUGUCGCUCACCUUUGGAGAUUUUAAAAGCAACAACCUGAUUUUUUUAAAUGUAAGGAGUAGAAAGUACAGAUACUUGUGUUUUAAAAAUAAGGAGUAAAAGUUAAAAAAAAAAAAACUCAAGUAAAGUACAGAUACCUGAAAAAUCUUCUUAAGUACAGUAACGAAGUACAAGUACUUUGUUACUUCCCACCUCUGUACUUCACUGACGUUUUGGAGGAAACUUUUCACUUUUCAGAGCUGUGAUAUUUUAUUUUUGAGUUAAACAUUUUUUAUAACGGUUUCUACUCCGGAAAAACAACAACUUCCAGCUUAAAUGUGGAGCCCUCCCUAACUCCGUAAAUAUGUUAUGAUCUCUUUGGUCUGUUUGAAACCGCGCUUUAUAAAUAUAACACAACAUUUUGCCCACUCUGUUAUUAUCUUCUUCUCCGUCCAUUUCAGUCCAUGAAACUAUUAUUUAUGUUCUUUAUUUUGAGCACGUCCGCGGUCCAGUCACACUCAUGUACGGAACGACCCUGGAAACGGUUUUUCCGACCUGGCAACCCACUUCCCGCAAAGCACAUCCGGUUGUAAAGAUGUCGCCCUCCUUGUUCAUUUUUGGCGAGGCUAAAGACAACUUUGUGGCGUCUACGAAAAAUGCUCUGGCUGGCAAGAGCUGCAAACCUUUAACCAAUACUUUUAACCAGAUGAUCGGCAAGUAAGUGGCAUUUUCUUUACUUUACUGGGUGCACUGAUUUACGUACUCAGCUGGAACUUUUCUGUUAUGGAUUGAUAAUUCUACUUUGUCUGUUUUGGCUAAAUAUGUUACAUUUGUGUGCACCAGAGUGGAGAAUGGAUGAAUAAUUCAAUGUAAAGGAGGCAGGAAGUGUAACUGUAAACCAUUUUUUAUUAUUAUUAAU
ensembl:lncRNA